ACCUCUUAAAUCGUCUUGCUACCCUCACAUUCCCCAACGCUACUUCAAAAGCUCUGCUCCAUUCCUAGGCUGUGUUACCCUGGUGACUAAUCUUGAUAAUCAGGUCCUGGAAGUUUCCACGAAGGCAGUGUCUUAGCACCUGUGUGUGCCGGCUUUGACUGCGGUGGGACAGGUGACUGUGGACUGUGCAUUUGAAUCAUCAGCCAAGAUACAUGGGCGUUGCUUAGCUCUAAAGCAUCCUGAAACAUUCUAGAACAUGUGUGUACAAAUAUUGAAAGAGAAAACAGUGGUCGCAUCGCUAUGACACAGUCAGCGUAAAAGACACCAGCAUGAGGUGAAUGAUGAAAGAUGCAGGCAGCAAAGGCAGAGUAGGGAAAGGCUGGCUAGGAAGAGGGAACAGCAUGUGCAAACAGAACAUCUUGUGGCAGGAAGAACUCAAAGCCUUUCAGGUGCUAACUGGAAACUAGCAACUGGAGUGUGAAGAGCUCAAGACAGUGACCAUCACAAGGGUCCUGGAUGACGGUCACAAGGAAACUGGAUUUCAUGCUGUGGGUGAUGGAAUGCUAUCAGAAGGCUCGGGGACUGACCUGAUCCCCAUGUUCAACGAUAUGAAUUUGUUUCCCAAAAUUUGCAAUAAAUAAA